GAUGAAGAACGUAGCGAAAUGCGAUAAGUAUUGUGAAUUGCAGAAUUCAGUGAAUCAUCGAAUCUUUGAACGCACAUUGCGCCCGCCAGCACUCUGGCGGGCAUGCCUGUUCGAGCGUCAUUUCAACCAUCAAGCCCCCAGGGGCUUGUGCUGGGGCCCUGCGGCUGCCCGCAGGCCCUGAAAACCAGUGGCGGGCUCGCUAGUCACACCGAGCGCAGUAGCACAUCUCGCUCAGGGCGUGCGGCGGGCUCCUGCCGUGAAACCCCCCACUGUAACCCCAAAGGUUGACCUCGGAUCAGGUAGGAAUACCCGCUGAACUUAAGCAUAUCAAUAAGCGGAGGA
rnacentral:misc_RNA from 1 species